AGGAAUAUUGGUCAAUGGGCGAGAGCCUGAACCAGCCAAGUAGCGUGAAGGAUGACUGCCCUAUGGGUUGUAAACUUCUUUUAUAAAGGAAUAAAGUCGGGUAUGGAUACCCGUUUGCAUGUACUUUAUGAAUAAGGAUCGGCUAACUCCGUGCCAGCAGCCGCGGUAAUACGGAGGAUCCGAGCGUUAUCCGGAUUUAUUGGGUUUAAAGGGAGCGUAGAUGGAUGUUUAAGUCAGUUGUGAAAGUUUGCGGCUCAACCGUAAAAUUACAGUUGAUACUGGAUAUCUUGAGUGCAGUUGAGGCAGGCGGAAUUCGUGGUGUAGCGGUGAAAUGCUUAGAUAUCACGAAGAACUCCGAUUGCGAAGGCAGCCUGCUAAGCUGCAACUGACAUUGAGGCUCGAAAGUGUGGGUAUCAAACAGGAUUAGAUACCCUGGUAGUCCACACGGUAAACGAUGAAUACUCGCUGUUUGCGAUAUACAGCAAGCGGCCAAGCGAAAGCGUUAAGUAUUCCACCUGGGGAGUACGCCGGCAACGGUGAAACUCAAAGGAAUUGACGGGGGCCCGCACAAGCGGAGGAACAUGUGGUUUAAUUCGAUGAUACGCGAGGAACCUUACCCGGGCUUAAAUUGCAGAUGAAUUACGGUGAAAGCCGUAAGCCGCAAGGCAUCUGUGAAGGUGCUGCAUGGUUGUCGUCAGCUCGUGCCGUGAGGUGUCGGCUUAAGUGCCAUAACGAGCGCAACCCUUGUUGUCAGUUACUAACAGGUUUCGCUGAGGACUCUGACAAGACUGCCAUCGUAAGAUGUGAGGAAGGUGGGGAUGACGUCAAAUCAGCACGGCCCUUACGUCCGGGGCUACACACGUGUUACAAUGGGGGGUACAGAGGGCCGCUACCACGCGAGUGGAUGCCAAUCCCCAAAACCUCUCUCAGUUCGGACUGGAGUCUGCAACCCGACUCCACGAAGCUGGAUUCGCUAGUAAUCGCGCAUCAGCCACGGCGCGGUGAAUACGUUCCCG
rnacentral:rRNA from 1 species